CCUACGGGCGGCAGCAGUAGGGAAUAUUGCUCAAUGGGGGAAACCCUGAAGCAGCAACGCCGCGUGGAGGAUGAAGGUUUUCGGAUUGUAAACUCCUUUUGUUAGAGAAGAUAAUGACGGUACCUCUUGAAUAAGCCACGGCUAACUACGUGCCAGCAGCCGCGGUACUACGUAGGUGGCAAGCGUUGUCCGGAUUUACUGGGUGUAAAGGGCGUGUAGCCGGGCUGACAAGUCAGAUGUGAAAUUCCGGGGCUCAACCCCGGACCUGCAUUUGAAACUGUUGGUCUUGAGUAUCGGAGAGGCAGGCGGAAUUCCUAGUGGAGCGGUGAAAUGCGUAGAUAUUAGGAGGAACACCAGUGGCGAAGGCGGCCUGCUGGACGACAACUGACGGUGAGGCGCGAAAGCGUGGGGAGCAAACAGGAUUAGAUACCCGGGUAGUC
rnacentral:rRNA from 1 species